CCAAACCCCACCCCGUACACAGUUGUAUAUCUUAGUUGCAGGUCCUUCUAGUUGUGGGAUGUGGGACACCGCCUCAACGUGGCCUGACGAGUGGUGCCAUGUCCGCACCCAGGAUCCGAACCCUGGGCCGCAGCAGCAGCGGAGCACGCGAACUUAACCACUCGGCCACGGAGCCGGCCCCUGAGGAGACUAAGGCUGUUGAAACUUCUUGGCCUAAGGCCACUGAGGGACUCCUGAGUCCCCAAGCACGGUGUAACACCGGGCAACCUGAGAAGCUGGCUGCCUUCUCCGGGCUUGUUCCAGCAGAGCUUCUGCUGUGGGAUUACAGGCAGUGGUGUGCUGAUAAAUGUUCAACAAUAAGUUCUCCAGGGGCAAAAGCCUUGGAUUUGUGGUGUUUACCUAUCCCUGGGGUGUAAACAUUCUCAUGAUGGCCAAUUUCAAGCCACCAACACGCUGUCACUGAAAAACAGUGGAGAAGAGAUGUGCACAGUCAUUCUCACCAGGCAAGCCCAGCACAUCCCUGCUGCUCCCAGCCUCGGACCUGUGGAAAAACUUCAACCUUCACCCAGUAAGAAUUCGCAGGCGCAGGGAUGGGACAAUGUAGCUUUCAGAGGAUCACUACAAAGAGACAAUUUCCUAAUUUCAGGGACCAACUACGACUGCUAGGAACAAGUGUUUAAAACAUUCAAGGAUCUUUACAACUCCUUCCAUCAAUAAAGUUCUAGGCACAAAACAAACAUUGACAUCUUUCUCCUCUGAGCUAUCAUCAAACUUUAUUAUUACAUCUCUUCUUUUUUUUUAAGAUUUAUCUAACAUUGUGCCAAACACUGUUCCAAGUGCAAUGCAUACCACGACUCAAUUUAUCCUCACCACAAGCCCAUGAGGCAAGUACUUUAAUGGUCUGGUUCCACGAUGAGCCAACUGAAGCAGAGAGGUUAAGUAACAUGCCCAAAGUCACCGAGUCCUGAAUUGCCUUUGCAAUUUCCCAUAAAGAGUGGCAGAAUAGAUGACCAUCCUCCCAGCCCAGGAAAUUCUUCAUAUACUUUAGAUAUAAAGUUGUGUAAAAUUAAAAAGCAUUAUUUAUACAUAUUUAAUUGUAAGUUGAACCUAACCGAUAGAGAAAUACACCAAUAAAAUUCUUCACAAUGAUCAGUCUCGGGGAUAACAGCACUUUGCCUCUCCAUCUUCAUCUCCGCUGAAAGAGUUCAAAUCUCUUUGCAAUUAUCAAUUAAUUACACAUCAAUAUUCCUCAGAGGCUAGGCAUUACAGUUAUGAUCUGUUUUAUGGUUAUUUUAUAGCCAUUAAUAGUAAUGAAAAUAAGAACAGUUUCAUGUACUAUACAAUGCGUCACGUAGAGAACAGAAUUAGACACAAUCAUUGUUCAAAGGUUUAAAAUAGAAACUAAAUUUCUAAGAAAUGAUUUAGUAUUUCAUUAUUAGUAACAAUACUUCAAAUUUAUAGAGCAUCUUAUGUUUAAAAGCUUUUCAUGUGUGGUCAAUAGAUCAAACGGAAUCCGCAGCCAGUCAGAUUUGAAUUCAGAUUCUGGUUUCAGCUCUAAUACUGCUCUGGGUGUAAUUUUUUACUGUUUCAUUUUAUUUGAAGUCAUUGAUUCAUAUAGUGGAAAUUCAAAAUUUACAGACUUACAGAAAAAAAAAAUCUCCCCAACUCAGCAGCCUACCUUCCGCUUAGCAACCCACCUCCUGUCCUUGGAGGUAGAACAAAGUUAACACCUUCUUGAUCUCCUUCUAGGGGUACUUUAUGCAUAUACGGUACAAGCAAAUGGCACAUACAAUCUUGUACCAUUUUAUACAAAUGAUAGCAUUCUAGACUUAACAGAAAGUUGGAGCUACAAUCCCCUCUGCUGUGAAAGGGCGGUGAGGAGAGACAUCAGAGGUUUAUGAAAACGCCCAAGCCCAGCACCUGGCAUGGAGUUAGCACUCAAUAAAGACAGUGUCCCUUUUCUUACCCAUAAAAAGGCUGUGCAGGAAGAGGUCCUUAGCGCGCCUAAAACUCAUCCAGGGCUUGUUGACCACAGACUGCCUCCCUGCACCCCACUCCAGUUUCCAUUUGGAAGGUCUGGGGUACGCCCUACAUCUGCAUUUCCAGCGAGC
rnacentral:lncRNA from 1 species